rnacentral:rRNA from 1 species
UACGAAGGGAGCUAGCGUUGUUCGGAAUCACUGGGCGUAAAGCGCACGUAGGCGGAUUUGUAAGUCAGGGGUGAAAUCCCGGGGCUCAACCUCGGAACUGCCUUUGAUACUGCAAAUCUCGAGUCCGGGAGAGGUGAGUGGAACUCCGAGUGUAGAGGUGAAAUUCGUAGAUAUUCGGAAGAACACCAGUGGCGAAGGCGGCUCACUGGCCCGGUACUGACGCUGAGGUGCGAAAGCGUGGGGAGCAAACAGG